CAUUGAAACACCGGUUCUUGUAUCAUCACCAAAGUUAAGCAAUGUUGAGCCUGGUCAGUGCUUAGAUGGGUGAUCACUUGGGAAUACUAUGUAUUGUAAG